rnacentral:misc_RNA from 1 species
GAUGAAGAACGUAGCGAAAUGCGAUAAGUAAUGUGAAUUGCAGAAUUCAGUGAAUCAUCGAAUCUUUGAACGCACAUUGCGCCCGCCAGUAUUCUGGCGGGCAUGCCUGUCUGAGCGUCAUUUCAACCCUCAUGCCCCUAGGGCGUGGUGUUGGGGAUCGGCCAAAGCCCGCGAGGGACGGCCGGCCCCUAAAUCUAGUGGCGGACCCGUCGUGGCCUCCUCUGCGAAGUAGUGAUAUUCCGCAUCGGAGAGCGAUGAGCCCCUGCCGUUAAACCCCCAACUUUCCAAGGUUGACCUCAGAUCAGGUAGGAAUACUCGCUGAACUUAAGCAUAUCAAUAAGCGGAGGA